rnacentral:rRNA from 1 species
GACGAACGCUGGCGGCGUGCUUAACACAUGCAAGUCGAACGGAAAGGCCUCUUUCGGGGGGUACUCGAGUGGCGAACGGGUGAGUAACACGUGAGUAACCUGCCCUUGACUUUGGGAUAACUUCAGGAAACUGGGGCUAAUACCGGAUAGGAGCUCCUGCUGCAUGGUGGGGGUUGGAAAGUUUCGGCGGUUGGGGAUGGACUCGCGGCUUAUCAGCUUGUUGGUGGGGUAGUGGCUUACCAAGGCUCUGACGGGUAGCCGGCCUGAGAGGGUGACCGGCCACAUUGGGACUGAGAUACGGCCCAGACUCCUACGGGAGGCAGCAGUGGGGAAGAUUGCACAAUGGGUGGAAGCCUGAUGCAGCAACGCCGUGUGCGGGAUGACGGCCUUCGGGUUGGAAACCGCUUUCGCUCAUGACGAAGCUUUGUGUGACGGUAGUGGGUAAAGAAGCACCGGCUAACUACGUG